AGAUAACCCUGUGGGAGGAGCAGAUUGGGAGCUUCGAAACCUAGAGUUAUGUUUUAGCCAUAUUAAGUCUGAGAUAGCAACUUUAUAUGAAGGGGAUGUGUUGAGUAGGCAGAUGGAUAUAUGAGAAUACUUUCAGGAGACUGGUGUGGGUUGUAGAUAUAAAUUUAGGCACUGUCAGAGUUCAGAUGGCUUUUAAACCCCUGAAACCAGGAGAGCAGAUAACCUAGGAAGUGAGUAUAGAACCAGAGGAGAGCAGGUCUGAAGACUGGGCUUCAGGAAGAUGAGAAAGAAUGAACAGAGGAGACUCAGAAAGAGUGACAAGUAAAGUAGAAGGCAAAUAGAGGAUAGUUCCUGGAAGCAAAGUGAAAGGUGUUUUAAGAAGAGAAUCAUCAACUCUUCCUAAUGUUGCUAGACCUAACUGGAUGAGGAAUAAUUACCACCUUUGGAUUUGAUAUUAUGGCAAUCAUCCAGGACUAUGGAAACACUCUUUCAAUGGAGGUUCCAGAUGUGUGGCCAUCUGAGUUUUGUAGAGAAGACUGGAAUGUGUGUACUGCCUGCUGUGGUAAAAGGAGCUCUUACCUCUGCCACCCAGCAUCUGCAUCUUGCUCCGGUUUGUGGUUACCGACUGUCAUGUGAAUGAACAUGUAUGUCAGGAGUCUCAGAUAUCCAGUCACCACACAUUUGUCAAGAGCUCACACUGUUUCUGCCAGUGAUCAGGGACUAUGGGCAGGAUGUAAUCCCUGUGUGACUUGGAAGGAUUCCCAGCCUAAUUAAAGAAUCUAACAAGUAAAUUAUAAGUAUGAUACAUUGUGUUAAAUGAUAUAUAAAGAUAUACAAAUGGUACCCAAUGUUUUUAAUUACUUCCCAUGUACCUGUGUGGAAGUGACAUGUUUUCUAUCAAAGAUUCAUGAUCCUUUUCUGUAGGAAAAAGUCAUUGCUGGAAAGAAGCUGUCCAUGCAGGUACUCCAUUUCUCACCCAUAAUCACUUAAGUAGGACCAAGUGAUCUGGCCAAAGGAAUUUGGGCAGAGUGAAGUACACCAUGUCCAGGUCUGGACUGUAAAAAUAUUUCUAAUAUUCUCCACUAACCCUUCCCCAACUCCCCCAUGCAUAUAUCCCACCACUACCACCUGAGAUGGAUGGAUGGAUGGAUGGAUGGAUGGAUGGAUGGAUGGAUAACAGAUCAAUCAAGUUACAUGUUGAUGAUGAUGGCAGAGCUUCCAUCAGCCUGGGCCCCUGAAUUACUGUGGGAAACAGAGCCCACCCACUCUCAAUUAUGGAGUGAAAAAUAAACUUCUAGAUUGUUAAAACAACUGAGAUUUGGGGAUUUAUCAGUUAAAGCAGCUACUAUUGCCAUUACUAACAUACUCAGAGCACUAGUUCUAAAUUAAUCUUUAGAAAAAAAGAAUUUUUUAAUGUUUAUUUAUUUUUAAGAGAGAGAGAGAGAGAGAGAGAGUCAGUGAGUGCCGGUGAAGGGCAGAGAGAGAGGGAGACACAGAAUCCAAAGCAGGCUCCAGGCUCUGAGCUGUCAGCACAGAGCCUGAUGCAGGGCUCAAACCCACGAACCAUGAAAUCAUGACCUGAGCUAAACUCUGAUGCUUAACUGACUGAGCCAUCCAGGUGCCUCUGUAAUUAAUCUUUUAAAUCAAUAACAACUUUAUGAAAUGGAUAUAGUAAUUAUCCACGUUUUACAGGGGAGGAAGCUGAAGCUCAGAGAGAAGAUGUCAUUUGCUCAAGGUCACAGAGGUAAUAAGUUAUGAAGAUACUUUAUUAGUGAGUAAUAAUAAAGAAUAAAGUCAGUAUGGGCCCUGACCUUGAAGAGGUUUCAUUCUCAAGGUACAGAUGAU